CGACACGGGUUCAAUAUUUUUGUGCGAUCGCGUCGCGGCAGCUAGCGCUUGACCACAUGACAUCUGACCCUUUAUCGGCCGCCGCCUUCCUAUCGCGCACUUCACAUCCCGGCGCUGCUCAUCAUUCACAUAUUUCACAGUGUAUGCGUGAGCUGUAAAGAACGAUGCUGUGGGUCUUGUGCGCGGCGUUGCUGACAUCAAGCGCACUAGGCUGCGAACUUGUUCCAGGGGAGGGGACUGGGCCAAAGUCUCCAGGAGACAACUUCUAUCGGCUUAUCAUCAACGGUGACGUGGAGAGAUAUGCACCUGACCAGAGAUAUGUUGUGACACUCGUUGGUUCUCGCACCCACGAUGUAGUGCAACAGUUCACUAGAUUCCAGUUGACAAUCGACCCACUGGAUCCAGCGACUCCAAGGACUCCCCGCAAGCAAGGCCAGUUCCAGCUCUUCGCGGACACUCUCACUAAGUUCGAUGAGGAAUGUACUAACUCAGUGAUAGAAGCUGACGACCUGCCCAAGACAGAGGUACAAGUCAUGUGGAAAGCGCCACCGGCUGGUUCUGGAUGCGUGAUGCUAAAGGCGAUGGUGUAUGAAAAUGCGAGUCGCUGGUACGCGGAGGACGGACAACUCACGCGUCGCGUAUGCGAGGAUACAUCGGUGUCCGCGCCUGACUGCUGCGCCUGUGACGACGCCAAGUAUAGGAUGGUGUUCGAAGGACUCUGGAGCCCACAGACGCACCCUAAGGACUUUCCCGUGCAAGCUUUAUGGCUUACUCAUUUCUCUGACGUAAUCGGAGCGACGCAUCGUAAGAAUUUUACUUUCUGGGGUGAAGGUGAAAUCGCUACGGACGGAUUUAGGUCACUUGCGGAGUGGGGUUCAGUGGGUUUGCUGGAGCGCGAGCUACGGCAGCGCGGUGCCGUGCUACGUUCGGUGGUGAAGGCUGCGGGCCUGUGGCACCCGCGUCUUAAUCAGAACACCACCGCUUCUUUCACCGUAGAUCGGAAGCGCAAUUACCUGUCGCUCGCUUCCAUGUUCGGACCAUCUCCGGACUGGGUGGUGGGUGUGAGUGGAUUAGACCUGUGCAACAAGGACUGUACGUGGGUAGAAUCGAAGGUCAUCGAUCUUUUCCCCUAUGAUGCCGGUACUGAUAAUGGCAUUUCAUACAUGUCACCAAAUUCUGAAACCGUUCCUCGUGAAAAGAUGUACCGAAUUACCACCAUGUACCCCGAAGACCCUCGUGCCCCAUUCUACAAUCCGGAUAAGAAAGAGAUCAAUCCAAUGGCGAGACUCUAUCUGACUAGAGAAAAGCUGAUCUCCAGGUCGUGUGACGAAGAGACGCUGCAAAGUUUAGUGAUUGAAGAGACUGAAAAUACUGAGUCUACUAACAGACCGGAGUGUGCGGUGACGGAAUGGGAAUCUUGGUCGGCGUGUUCGGUGACUUGCGGCAAGGGAUUACGUAUGCGCACGCGGCAGUACCGUAUGCCGGAAAAAGCCCGUAUGUUUGCGUGCGAUCGGCAGCUCGUCUCCAAGGAAAUGUGCGUUGCAGACGUACCGGAGUGCGAAGGUGAUGAUGCAAACGAAGCCGAGCCAGACGAUCUAGACGUAGCACCAGUCGAGGCUGGUGGUAUCUGUGAGACAUCAGAGUGGGGCGUCUGGAGCGAGUGCUCAGUUACGUGCGGUGUCGGUAUCAGUACGAGGAGACGGUACUUCCUUAACCAGAUGGGCAACAAAAAAUGUCCAUUAGUGGCACUUGAGGAUAAUCGUAAAUGUAUGGAGCCGCAAUGUACGGAGGCGGAUUUGGAAACAGAUAUCUCAGAUCCGACAUGUCCCACAAGCGAAUGGGCGGCGUGGUCGCCGUGCUCAGCGUCUUGUGGGCGCGGCGUGCGCUUCCGCACGCGCUUGUUAUUGGUGCCGGCAGAGCGCCAACAAGACUGUUCUACUCGUGUCGAGCUGCUGCAGCAGCGCCCGUGUGUGGAGCGAGAGGACUGCACUAUUGACAUGAUGACAGCGAAACGCAUCUGUAUGGAGUCUCCAGAGCAAGGUCCAUGCCGCGGGCUUUACCAACGUUGGGCGUUCGCUGCGCAAAAGGGCAUGUGCGUGCCUUUUAAUUACGGUGGCUGUCGCGGGAACAGGAACAACUUCAUUUCACAGCAGGACUGUCUCGAUACCUGCAGCGUUAUACUUGGCGGAGCAGCCGGAACAGCCGCGGUGCCCCCGGCUGGCCAACCCGCACCCGCCGGCAAUGCUCUCUUCGCUGGACUCAGCGUCAACUCCAUCAUUCCCGGAGCGCCAACAAUCACUGGCUCCUCGCAAUCAGCCGACUGUCAGUUGAGUGACUGGAGCGGGUGGAGCCGUUGCAGCGUCACGUGUGGUAUCGGUUACCAGGAGCGCUCAAGGACGAUACUGUCUCAGCCUGGUCCGGGCGGCGCGCCCUGUCCUACUCGCCUCACACGACGACGCCGUUGCUCGCGCGUGUGUUAGUGUCGCGAAAAAUGCAGCAGUCUUCUGACCACUCAUUGGAAUCACAGUAACAAGCAAGUAUAUUCAGAUACAGUAAUCGACGAGUGGCUUCUACUUAAUACUCAUUUGUUUAUAUUUUUAAGAAAUACAUAAUAUAUUUUAGCAGGAAA